UGUCAUGAGCACACACAAGACACUGAAUUUGAAAAAAAUUUCUUAGCAGCCAGCCAAAUGACCUCUGGAGUUACAUGGGGACUCCACUGAGAGAAGCUCUGUAUGCGGCCCUGUACCAACUUAACAGCUGACAUCAGAUACUGAUGUUUGCCCGAGGAUGUGUGCUGCUUCAGGAACACAAAUUUCACAUUUGGAAUGUGCACAUGUCUAUCUUCAGGUUAAGAAUCAACUGUGCUCAUAUCAUAGGCAGCAGAUCCCUGUGGGUGAGCUUCAACUUCGGGGAGGUCAGCCACUUACUAGCUCUCUAAUCUGGGCAAAUCAUUAAACCUCUCUGCCCCUCAGUCCCUUCAUCUGUAAAAAGGGAUAGCAAUAUUACCUACUUCACAGAAUUACCAUAUAGAAUAAAUGAGAUAACACCUGCA
rnacentral:lncRNA from 13 species